GGUCAAGUGAAUAAGCGCAUAGGGUGAAUGCCUAGGCGAUAAGAGGCGAUGAAGGACGUUGUAGGAUGCGAUAAGUCGCGGGGAGUUUUCAAACAAACUUUGAUCCGCGAAUUUCCGAAUGGGGAAACCCAAUCUGCAUAAGCAGAUUAUCUUGCUCUGAAUACAUAGGAGUAAGAGGCGAACCGGGGGAACUGAAACAUCUAAGUACCCCGAGGAAAAGAAAUCAAACGAGAUUCCCUAAGUAGCGGCGAGCGAACGGGGAACAGCCGAGUCUUUUGCGAUAGUGGAACAGUCUGGAAAGUCUGACGAUACAGGGUGAUAGUCCCGUACACGAAAUCAAAAAGGAACGUAUUAAGUAGGGCGAUGCACGUGAAACGUUGUCUGAAGAUAGGGGGACCAUCCUCUAAGGCUAAAUACUACUUAUCGACCGAUAGUGAACUAGUACCGUGAGGGAAAGGCGAAAAGAACCCCGGAGAGGGGAGUGAAAUAGAUCCUGAAACCCUAUGCGUACAAGCAGUAGGAGCGGACUUGUUCCGUGACUGCGUACCUUUUGUAUAAUGGGUCAGCGACUUAAUCUUAGUGGCAAGCUUAACCGAGAAGGGGAGGCGUAGCGAAAGCGAGUCUUAAUAGGGCGUUUAGUCGCUAGGAUUAGACCCGAAACCGGGCGAUCUAUCCAUGGCCAGGUUGAAGGUGGGGUAAUACCUACUGGAGGACCGAACCCACGUAUGUUGAAAAAUGCGGGGAUGAGCUGUGGAUCGGAGUGAAAGGCUAAUCAAGCCCGGAGAUAGCUGGUUCUCCUCGAAAUCUAUUUAGGUAGAGCCUCGUGUAUAACUGUUGGGGGUAGAGCACUGUUACGGCUAGGGGGUCAUCCCGACUUACCAAACCGUUGCAAACUCCGAAUACCAACAAGUUUUAGCACGGGAGACACACGGCGGGUGCUAAGGUCCGUCGUGAAAAGGGAAACAGCCCAGACCGUCAGCUAAGGUCCCAAAAUCACUACUCAGUGGGAAACGAUGUGAAAAGGCCCAGACAGCCAGGAGGUUGGCUUAGAAGCAGCCAUCCUUUAAAGAAAGCGUAAUAGCUCACUGGUCGAGUCGGUUUGCGCGGAAGAUUUACCGGGGCUAAGUAGUGUACCGAAGCUACGGAUCGACGUUAAUUUAUUAACGGAGGUGGUAGAGGAGCGUUCCGUAAGCCUGCGAAGGUCAAUUGAGAAGUUGGCUGGAGGUAUCGGAAGUGCGAAUGCUGACAUGAGUAACGAUAAAGGGGGUGAAAAACCCCCUCGCCGAAAACCCAAGGUUUCCUGCGCAACGUUAAUCGACGCAGGGUUAGUCGGGACCUAAGGCGAGGCCGAAAGGCGUAGUCGAUGGAAAACAGGUUAAUAUUCCUGUACUUGUUAUAACUGCGAUGGGGUGACGGAGCAGGCUAGAUCAGCUUACGGUUGGAAAUGUAAGUUUAAGCGUGUAGGGAGAGAGUUUAGGUAAAUCCGGACUCUUGUUAAUUCUGAGACGUGAUGACGAGUUUCUCCUCGUGAGAGACGAAGUGAUUGAUGCCAUACUUCCAAGAAAAACCUCUAAGCUUCAGGUUAUAACGACCCGUACCCCAAACCGACACAGGUGGGUGGGAUGAGAAUUCUAAGGCGCUUGAGAGAACUCGGCUGAAGGAACUAGGCAAAAUUGUACCGUAACUUCGGGAGAAGGUACGCCUUUUGUAGGUGAAGCGACUUGCUCGUGGAGCUGAAGAAGGCAGCAUUAAAUUGGUGGCUGCGACUGUUUAUCAAAAACACAGCACUCUGCAAACUCGCAAGAGGAAGUAUAGGGUGUGACGCCUGCCCGGUGCCGGAAGGUUAAUUGAUGGGGUUAUCUUCGGAAAAGCUCUUGAUCGAAGCCCCGGUAAACGGCGGCCGUAACUAUAACGGUCCUAAGGUAGCGAAAUUCCUUGUCGGGUAAGUUCCGACCUGCACGAAUGG
rnacentral:rRNA from 1 species